rnacentral:rRNA from 1 species
AGUGAUUCCCUGAGUAGUGCCGAGCGAAAAGGGAAUAGCCCAAACCGGGUCGGCGUGCCGACGCGGGGUUAUAGGACUGCGAUUAGAAAGUGUUAUCAAAUCGAACCCUUUGGAAAGAGGGGCCAUAGCAGGUGAAAGCCCUGUAGAUAGAAAUUAACAUGGACGAGCAGGAUCCUGAGUAAUGCGGGACCGGAGGAAUCUUGCAUGAAGUUGCCAGCACCAUCUGGUAAGGCUAAAUACUCCUCAGACACCGAUAGUGAACCAGUACCGUAAGGGAAAGGUGAAAAGCACCCCGAACAGGGGAGUGAAAUAGUACCUGAAA